rnacentral:tRNA from 1 species
GUUUUAUUAGUAUAGUUAAGUACGUUUGUUUUCCAAACAAGGGGGUUAGGUGAUCUAAAUAAAAUA